UCACCACCCUGAGAUCAUGACUUGAGCCAAAAUCAUGAGUUAGACACUUAAACUGACUGAGCCCCUCAGCAAUUAUUUAUUGAGCACUCCUUUGAACCAGGUGCUUUUCCUGGCACCGAUGACGUUGUUCCAGAGCAGGGAGACAGACAAGAAAAGGUCAACAUAUGGGCUCUCAACAUUAAACACGGAGGUCUAGGAACUUCGGCUUGCCCAAGAGUUUAUCUGGAGCCGGGAGGCCCCAGAUCAGGCUCAGAGGAGUCCUGCUUUCAGAAUCAGAGCAACUGAUGGAGACACCAGUGGGCCUGAGCUGAGUCCAAGCCAGAGAAAUAUUUAUUUAGGUGGACUGAGCCAGAACAGGCAUGCUGAUCUGGGCCCAUUGCAAGGUGAAAACAACGCAGACCCUUGUGCCAACGGACAGCCCAAUGCUCCACACUACCAUGGCAUCAAGUAGUUAUUUAUGAAGGACCCAGCUCCCUUACCACCCUCCUCCAAGAACUUAUCAACAAUCUCCGAAUACCCUGUGAAAUGAAGCCCAUUAGAAGGCCUACCUUGAACUCUCUCUCAGUCUUCCCCAGUCAACAAAUCCAUUCUUUACUCUUCAACCUCCAACCCUAAGGAAGGGCUUUAGAAAAUAGUAAGGCUUACAACACAUCACAGCCAUAGCUGAAGUUUAUUGUGCACCUCUUAUGUACCCGGCCUUGGCUGUAGAUUUCCUCAGCAGAUGGAAAUCAGAAGAGAGUAGAGAUGACAGGACAGAAAGUCCAUGUGGCUCCUGAGAGAUGGAAAGAAGAGCCAAACCCAGAGAUGCCUGGAAUUCCAAACCAGCUAGUUCCCACAUCUGGAAGACUCAUAAUUCCCCGAUACACUUGUAUUUUAACAAUAAACUCCUUAUUCUUUA